GGAGCUCCUGCGUCCGGGAGGACUGACCGUGACCUCCACCUCCGGGGGCGGGAGCAGCACCGCGGGGGCUGCCAGGUGCCAGUGACACUGCAAAUAAAUGGUUCUUUGCAAGAUGGCUGAGGCAAUGUUUUCAUGGAUUAUUCUCUAAGGUUUACUGUUGCAGAGAAAUGUCUGUGUGAAUGAAUCAAAGAAAGACCUCUACUAAAU